rnacentral:rRNA from 1 species
CAGUCGCCACGGUAAUACGAAGGGGGCUAGCGUUGCUCGGAAUGACUGGGCGUGAAGGGCGCGUAGGCGGUUUAUACAGUCAGAUGUGAAAUUCCUGGGCUCAACCUGGGGACUGCAUUUGAUACGUAUGGACUUGAGUGGAGAAGAGGGUUGUGGAAUUUACAGUGUAGAGGUGAAAUUCGUAGAUAUUGGAAAGAACACCGGUGGCGAAGGCGGCAACCUGGUCUUUAACUGACGCUGAGGCGCGAAAGCGUGGGGAGCAAACAGGAUUAGAUACCCCUGUAGUCCCUGUCUCUUAUAC